UCCCCCUGACCGGGGCCUAUCCAAAGCGGGUGCGAGGCCCAUAGCCGCCUGUUCCGUCUCGGAUGCGAUCUCCUGGGAGUCGGGUUGCUUGGGAGUGCAGCCCUAAUCGGGUGGUAAACUCCACCUAAGGCUAAAUACUGCCGUGAGACCGAUAGCAAACAAGUACCGUGAGGGAAAGUUGCAAAGAACUUUGAAGAGAGAGUUCAAGAGUACGUGAAACUGCUCAGAGGUAAACGGGUGGGCCCUCGAAAUCCUGUGGCGAGAGGAUUCAGUCUGGCGUCCCGGACGCUCUGGUCGGAAGUGAAGGAAGGGCUUCCCUGGACAGGGGCCGUCCGACCGGGCGACUUUCGCUUCGCCAGACGCAUUUGUCUCUCGUCCGAAGGACGCUGCAGCCGGUUGGGCACAGCAAGCACGACGGCCUGAAGGGCGGAAGAUGGCAGGUGGCCGGUGGCGCGGUUCUCGCGUUGCCGGUUGUUAGCCGUUCCGUCGGUGGCUCGUCGCCCGACCGUGGUGUCGCUAGGCCCUCGGGCCUCCACGUCUCCUCCUCCCCGGACGCGGGUCAGAUUGCUGCAGGCGAAAUCCGCUGUCCCUUCGCACUCCGCAGGAGUGGUCGGGCACACGGAGAGCGCCGUUGGUGGCGACGAACCCGUGGGAGUUUGGAGGCUUGCAGCGAGUAGGUCGGUCACCCACCCGACCCGUCUUGAAACACGGACCAAGGAGUCUAACAUGUGCGCGAGUCAAUGGGUCUUGAACAGGCCCAGGGGCGCAAUGAAAGCAAAGGUCGGCGAAAGCCGACUCAGUCGGGAUCCCCCUCCUCGUGGGGGGGCGCACCGACGACCCGUCCUAUCCGGCUCGCCGGUUGGGCGGAG
rnacentral:rRNA from 1 species